AGUGAACGCUGGCGGUAGGCCUAACACAUGCAAGUCGAACGGCAGCACAGUAAGAGCUUGCUCUUACGGGCGGCGAGUGGCGGACGGGUGAGGAAUAUAUCGGAAUCUACUUUUUCGUGGGGGAUAACGUAGGGAAACUUACGCUAAUACCGCAUACGACCUACGGGUGAAAGCAGGGGAUCUUCGGACCUUGCGCGAUUGAAUGAGCCGCUGUCGGAUUAGCUAGUUGGCGGGGUAAAGGCCCACCAAGGCGACGAUCCGUAGCUGGUCUGAGAGGCUGAUCAGCGACACUGGAACGGAGACACGGUCCAGACUCCUAAGGGAGGCAGCAGUGGGGAAUAUUGGACAAUGGGCGCGAGCCUGAUCCAGCCAUACCGCGUGGGUGAAGAAGGCCUUCGGGUUGUAAAGCCCUUUUGUUGGGAAAGAAAAGCAGCAGGUUAAUACCACGCUGUUCUGACGGUACCCAAUGAAUAAGCACCGGCUAACUUCGUG
rnacentral:rRNA from 1 species